rnacentral:rRNA from 1 species
UACGAAGGUGGCAAGCGUUACUCGGAAUUACUAGGCGUAAAGGGCAGGUAGGUGGUUCGAUAAGUCUAUUGUGAAAGCUCCUGGCUUAACUGGGAGAGGCCAAUGGAUACUGUCGGGCUUGAGUAUAGGAGAGGUUACUGGAAUUCCCGGUGUAGCGGUGAAAUGCGCAGAUAUCGGAAGGAACACCAAUGGCGAAAGCAGGUAACUGGACUAUUACUGACACUCAACUGCGAAAGCUAGGGGAGCAAACAGG